AAUAUUAUGGAUAUAGAACUUGUCUGAAACUAAAGAUUUAUUGAUGGGUUUGUUUCUUACAAACACACACCUUUUGUCAUCUCCAGAUGUUAACUGAUGGACUGGAGUGGUGUGGAUUAUAGUGAUGUUUUUAUCAGCUGUUUGGACUCUCAUUCUGACGGCACCCAUUCACUGCAGAGGAUCCAUUGGUGAGAAAGUGAUGAAAUGCUACAUUUCUCCAAAUCUGAUUAAGAAACAAACUCAUCUACAUCUUAGAUGGCGUGAGGUUUUCCAUCAGCCAUUCGGGCAUUCUGUCGUUUGUUUGUGGGAGGAACACACAGCGUCAGUGUUCAGGGAAAGUGAAUGGAGAGAUAAACAGGGCUGACAGCGCAGGAGGUGAAAAAGCCCUGGAGGAUGAAUGAGGCUGAUGCAUUAUUUUCCAGGCCUGUUUGAAUUCAAUCAGCUGCUGGAGUCGGUGUGGGCAGAGCGGAGCGGCUGGAAGGCAUCAACCACACACAGAUCUCCAGUCCCUGCUAAACGCCCGCAGCUCCUGAGGGCCUUAAACCCAAUCCAAAGCCUGUCUGAAGCUGCUGCCGCUCACAAAGACGGCAAAUUCAAUAUGAGACAUAAGGGACGGAGACACAGCUGCAGCAGAAUCCUCAAGGCUUUACCGCCAAAAUACAGACUAUUGUUGCAUCCUAAUAGUGGAGUGUCAAUGAGAAACUUCCCAUCAUGCAUUAGCCGAAGAGAUAAGAACACACUCCUGCCUUGAGCUCAUAGGCUGUAACCUCAUUAUACAAGCGUCUGCAGUGAACACACUCUCCACAGAUGCUGCCGAGACCAGAGGCCAUUUGUGCUGCUGUAACACACAUAAAUAAAGAACAAACCCACCUCA
ensembl:lncRNA